rnacentral:rRNA from 1 species
ACCAACCCUUGACAUCCUAGGACCGGCCCAGAGAUGGGUCUUUCACUUCGGUGACCUAGUGACAGGUGCUGCAUGGCUGUCGUCAGCUCGUGUCGUGAGAUGUUCGGUUAAGUCCGGCAACGAGCGCAACCCACAUCCUUAGUUGCCAGCAGUUCGGCUGGGCACUCUAGGGAAACUGCCCGUGAUAAGCGGGAGGAAGGUGUGGAUGACGUCAAGUCCUCAUGGCCCUUACGGGUUGGGCUACACACGUGCUACAAUGGCAGUGACAAUGGGUUAAUCCCAAAAAACUGUCUCAGUUCGGAUUGGGGUCUGCAACUCGACCCCAUGAAGUCGGAAUCGCUAGUAAUCGCGUAACAGCA